rnacentral:rRNA from 1 species
UACGUAGGGGGCGAGCGUUGUCCGGAUUUACUGGGCGUAAAGCGCGUGUAGGCGGCGGGCCAAGUCCGGUGUGAAAGCCCGGGGCUCAACCCCGGGAUGCCGCCGGAAACUGGCCCGCUUGAGGCCGGAAGAGGGGCGUGGAAUUCCUGGUGUAGCGGUGAAAUGCGUAGAGAUCAGGAGGAACACCCGUGGCGAAGGCGGCGCCCUGGUCCGGCCCUGACGCUCAGACGCGAAAGCGUGGGGAGCGAACGGG